rnacentral:lncRNA from 1 species
GUUUAGUCUCAUGCAAUAUCCUAAAAACGAAUUGGAACGCAAACAAAUGACAACUAUUCCUUAUGCAUCUCUUGUUAGGAGCUUAAUGUAUGCUCAGACUUGCACUAGGCCAAGCAUCAAUUUUGCUGUCGGAAUGCUUGGCAUGUAUCAACGUAACCCGGAACUUGAUCAUUGGAAAGCUGCAAAGAAAGUAUUGACAUACUUGCAAGGAACGAAAGAUCACAUGCUCACUUAUAAGAGAUCUGAUAACUUAGAGGUCAUUGGAUAUUCAGAUUCGGACUUUACUGGAUGUGUGGAUACUAGAAAGUCCACAUUUGGCUAUUUGUUCCCCUUGGCUGGAGGGGUAUAUCAUGGAAAAGUGCAAAACAGUCACUAUGGAAGCCGAGAUUGUGGCAUGCUUUGAGGCCACAAUUCAAGGAAAUUGACUGAGGAACUUUAUUUCAGAACUUGGGAUCGUCAAUAGUAUAGCUAAGCGGAUGAAACUUUAUUGUGAUAAUUCUACAACAGUCUUCUUUUCAAAGAACAACAAAUACUCUAAAGGUGCUAAACACAUGGAAUUGAAGUACUUUGCUGUUAAAGAAAAAAUUCAAAAACAAGAGGUGUCAAUCGAGCAUAUUAGCACCAAUCUUAUUAUUGCAGAUCCAUUAACGAAAGGAUUGCCACCAAAGACGUUCAACGAACAUGUCGAAAGGAUGGGUAUUAUUGAAAAUUAUCAUUGACAUUAUUAUGCAAUUUAUGAUGCUUAUGUAUUGACAUUUUGAGCUUAUUUAUGUAUUGUUUUUGACCAAAUAUUAUUCCUAUCAUAACUGUUGGUACAUGUACGUGAAUGGAUAAUGUGAAUGUUGAUAGGGAUAGUCUUUUCGAAGACAUUAUUGUAAUGCAAU